GACGAACGCUGGCGGCGUGCUUAACACAUGCAAGUCGAGCGGUAAGGCCCUUUCAGGGGUACACGAGCGGCGAACGGGUGAGUAACACGUGGGUGACCUGCCCUUAGCUCUGGGAUAAGCCUGGGAAACUGGGUCUAAUACCGGAUAUGACUCCAUGACGCAUGUUGUGGGGUGGAAAGCCUUGUGCGGCUAGGGAUGGGCCCGCGGCCUAUCAGCUUGUUGGUGGGGUGAUGGCCACCAAGGCGACGACGGGUAGCCGGCCUGAGAGGGCGACCGGCCACACUGGGACUGAGACACGGCCCAGACUCCUACGGGAGGCAGCAGUGGGGAAUCUUGCGCAAUGGGCGAAAGCCUGACGCAGCGACGCCGCGUGAGGGAUGACGGCCUCGGUGUAAC
rnacentral:rRNA from 1 species